rnacentral:rRNA from 1 species
CCUACGGGUGGCAGCAGUGAGGAAUAUUGGUCAAUGGUCGGGAGACUGAACCAGCCAAGCCGCGUGAGGGAGGAAGGUACAGAGUAUCGUAAACCUCUUUUGUCAGGGAACAAAGACUGGGACGCGUCCCCGGAUGAGUGUACCUGAAGACAAAGCAUCGGCUAACUCCGUGCCAGCAGCCGCGGUAAUACGGAGGAUGCGAGCGUUAUCCGGAUUUAUUGGGUUUAAAGGGUGCGCAGGCGGUCUGUUAAGUCAGCGGUCAAAGCCCCGGGCUCAACCCGGGCCGGCCGUUGAAACUGGGGAUCUUGAGUGGGCGAGAAGUAUGCGGAAUGCGUGGUGUAGCGGUGAAAUGCAUAGAUAUCACGCAGAACUCCGAUUGCGAAGGCAGCAUACCGGCGCCCGACUGACGCUGAGGCACGAAAGCGUGGGGAUCGAACAGGAUUAGAUACCCUGGUAGUC